AAACGCCCGGGAAUUACAAGCGCAAGCUUAAAACCCAAAGGAUUUGACGGUGUCCCACCCACCUAGAGGAGCCUGUUCUAUAAUCGAUAAUCCUCGAUACACCUCACCAUUUUUUGCCUUUCCCCAGCCUGUAUACCUCCGUCGACAGCUUACCAUUUGAAUGCUACAAAGUAAGUUUAAUGGAUCAUAUACGCCAAUACGUCAGGUCAAGGUGCAGCCUAUAAAAUGGAAAGCAAUGGGCUACAAUUUCUAGUAUAGAACAAACGAAAGACUACCUGAAAUAACGUUAUGAAGGCGGAUUUAGUAGUAAAAGAAGAAUAGUGAGCUUCUUUUAAUAAGGCCCUGGGACGUGUACAAACCGCCCGUCACCCUCUUCAACAGCAACCAUUAAAUUUCUUAACACCUAGCUAGCGCAAUAGAAGAGGCAAGUCGAAACAUGGUAAGUGUACUGGAAAGUGCACUUGGUCAAACAAAGUGUAGCUUAGCUAAAGCCUUUCGUUUACACCGAAAAAACGUCUGUUAAACUCAGACCAUUUUGAGCCAUAAAUCUAGCCCAUAUUUUUCCCAUGAGCCACCUCUUCCAUCAUUAUAUAAAAAAGCAUUUCAACAGUCAAGUAAAGGAGAU
rnacentral:rRNA from 1 species